rnacentral:lncRNA from 10 species
CCCUCUGCCUACAGGGGGUAUUGUGAAAUAUCUCUGCACUGAUCAACUAGGUGAUGUAACUCUUGUCUAGGCUCUGCCUACAGGGGCGUUUUGACAUAUCUCUGAACUGAUGACAAAAGUGAUGUAACUCUUGCCUAGGCUUUGCCUACAGGGGACAUUGUGACAUAUCUCUGCACUGAUCACCCAGGUGAUGCAACUCUUCUCUAUGCUCUGCCUACAGGGGGUAUUGUGACAUAUCUCUGCACUGAUCACCUAAGUGAUGUAACACUUGUGUAGGCUCUGCCUACAGG